GCUACCUGCAGUCGGACGGUAGCACAGGGGAGCUUGCUCUCCGGGUGACAAGUGGCGGACGGGUGAGUAAUGUCUGGGAAACUGCCCGGUGGAGGGGGAUAACUACUGGAAACGGUAGCUAAUACCGCAUAACGUCUUCGGACCAAAGUGGGGGAUCUUCGGACCUCACGCCACCGGAUGUGCCCAGAUGGGAUUAGCUAGUAGGUGGGGUAACGGCUCACCUAGGCGACGAUCCCUAGCUGGUCUGAGAGGAUGACCAGCCACACUGGAACUGAGACACGGUCCAGACUCCUACGGGAGGCAGCAGUGGGGAAUAUUGCACAAUGGGCGCAAGCCUGAUGCAGCCAUGCCGCGUGUAUGAAGAAGGCCUUCGGGUUGUAAAGUACUUUCAGCGGGGAGGAAGGCGGUGAGGUUAAUAACCUUGCCGAUUGACGUUACCCGCAGAAGAAGCACCGGCUAACUCCGUGCCAGCAGCCGCGGUAAUACGGAGGGUGCAAGCGUUAAUCGGAAUUACUGGGCGUAAAGCGCACGCAGGCGGUCUGUUAAGUCAGAUGUGAAAUCCCCGGGCUUAACCUGGGAACUGCAUUUGAAACUGGCAGGCUUGAGUCUCGUAGAGGGGGGUAGAAUUCCAGGCGUAGCGGUGAAAUGCGUAGAGAUCUGGAGGAAUACCGGUGGCGAAGGCGGCCCCCUGGACGAAGACUGACGCUCAGGUGCGAAAGCGUGGGGAGCAAACAGGAUUAGAUACCCCUGGUAGUCCACCCCCUAAACGAUGUCGACUUGGAGGCUGGUUCCCUGAGGAGUGGCUUCCGGAGCUAACGAGUUUAAGUCGACCCGCCUGGGGAGUACGGCC
rnacentral:rRNA from 1 species